rnacentral:rRNA from 1 species
AUCGAACGCUGGUGGCAGGCCUAACACAUGCAAGUCGAACGAGUCGCGGACAGGUGAGUAAUGUAUGGGAACCUGCCUGAUGGAGGGGGAUCACUACUGGAAAUGGUAGCUAAUACAGCAUACCAUCGGAUGUGCCCAGAUGGGAUUAGCUAGUAGGUGGGGUAAAGGCGCACCUAGGCGACGAUCCCUAGCUGGUCUGAGAGGAUGACCAGCCACACUGGAACUGAGACACGGUCCAGACUCCGACGGGAGGCAGCAGUGGGGAAUAUUGCGCAAUGGGCGCAAGCCUGAUGCAGCCAUGCCGCGUGUAUGAAGAAGGCCUUCGGGUUGUAAAGUACGUUCAGCUGGGAGGCGUUAACCGCAGAAGAAGCACCGGCUAACUCCGUGCCAGCAGCCGCGGUAAUUC